GUGUUUUAGAAAUUUUCUGCUGUGUUCCAACCCUAAAUCCUUUGGAUUUUCUCUUCCUCUUCUUGUUGCUGUGCAUUUCCGUGGCUUCAAGAGGGACCCAAGCAGGUACAAAAGAUGAGACUGUGGAGCAGGGCACUGCGAAGGAGGGUGGGGCUGAUGCUUAGGGUCUCCCUGAUGGUUUGACCAUGAUGAGGAUGGUUAUGUUCUUUUUAUGUUCUAUGAUGGGUCCCAUGUUGGGACGUUUUGUUGGUUUGACUUAU